rnacentral:rRNA from 1 species
CCUACGGGAGGCAGCAGUGAGGAAUAUUGGUCAAUGGACGAGAGUCUGAACCAGCCAAGUAGCGUGAAGGAUGACUGCCCUAUGGGUUGUAAACUUCUUUUAUAUGGGAAUAAAAUGUUCCACGUGUGGGAUUUUGUAUGUACCAUAUGAAUAAGGAUCGGCUAACUUCGUGCCAGCAGCCGCGGUAAUACGGAGGAUCCGAGCGUUAUCCGGAUUUAUUGGGUUUAAAGGGAGCGUAGGUGGAUUGUUAAGUCAGUUGUGAAAGUUUGCGGCUCAACCGUAAAAUUGCAGUUGAAACUGGCAGUCUUGAGUACAGUAGAGGUGGGCGGAAUUCGUGGUGUAGCGGUGAAAUGCUUAGAGAUCACGAAGAACUCCGAUUGCGAAGGCAGUUCACUGGACUGCAACUGACACUGAGGCUCGAAAGUGUGGGUAUCAAACAGGAUUAGAUACCCCAGUAGUC